GAUGAAGAACGUAGCAAAAUGCGAUAAGUAAUGUGAAUUGCAGAAUUCAGUGAAUCAUCGAAUCUUUGAACGCACAUUGCGCCCGCUGGUAUUCCGGCGGGCAUGCCUGUUCGAGCGUCAUUUCAACCCUCAAGCCCCCGGGUUUGGUGUUGGGGAUCGGCUCUGCCCUUCUGGGCGGUGCCGCCCCCGAAAUACAUUGGCGGUCUCGCUGCAGCCUCCAUUGCGUACUAGCUAACACCUCGCAACUGGAACGCGGCGCGGCCAUGCCGUAAAACCCCAACUUCUGAAUGUUGACCUCGGAUCAGGUAGGAAUACCCGCUGAACUUAAGCAUAUCAAUAAGCGGAGGA
rnacentral:misc_RNA from 1 species